rnacentral:piRNA from 1 species
UGCCAACAUCGGUGUGGACUACAGGAC